UAUGUGAUCGUCUCUCGCAUAUCAAUAAGCGGAGGAAAAGAAACUAACAAGGAUUCCCCUAGUAACGGCGAGUGAAGCGGGAAGAGCUCAAAUUUGAAAUCUUAAAGGGUUUCCCUUUACGAAUUGUAGUUUAAAGAAGUGUUUUCUGUUGAGGUUUUGGUAAAAGUUCUUUGGAAUAGGACAUCAUAGAGGGUGAGAAUCCCGUAUUUGACCUUUACUUUCAACUUUGUGAUACACUUUCAAAGAGUCGGAUUGUUUGGGAAUGCAGUCCAAAAUGGGUGGUAAAUCUCAUCUAAAGCUAAAUAUUGGCGAGAGACCGAUAGCGAACAAGUACCGUGAGGGAAAGAUGAAAAGAACUUUGGAAAGAGAGUUAAACAGUACGUGAAAUUGUCAAAAGGGAAGCGUUUGACACCAGUGUUGUUUUUCUGAAAAUCAAUUAAAGAACUGUUUAUGCUAAGUUGUUUAGACUUUAUCAGCUAACUGUUUAGUUUUGAGCUUUUCUUUAAUGCACUUUUCAGUUAACAAGUCAACAUCAAUUUCUUUUGCUGUAAAAAAGCUUGAGGAAGGUGGCUUGAGAUUCGUCUUAAGUGUUUAUAGCCUCUUGCCUAUGCAGUCGGAGAGAUUGAGGUCUGCAGCGUAGAUCCUUCGGGGCUAAAUGCAUUUGUGCUAAGUUAUAGCAUUUUAUAGACAACUUGUUGACUAUGAUUUGUCUUGUAGCUUACUCGCUUAUGUUAUUUUACCUACGCUUAGGAUGUUGAACGCGCACAGAGUCUC
rnacentral:rRNA from 1 species